AAAGGAUAACAAGGGGCCAGAGCAGAAGCAUUCACGUCGCGGCCCCUGUCAGAUUCUGGUGAAUCUGCGAAUUCUGCU
rfam:TPA: Bos taurus chromosome 26, whole genome shotgun sequence.